rnacentral:rRNA from 1 species
UGGAGGUAUCAGAAGUGCGAAUGCUGACAUAAGUAACGAUAAAGCGGGUGAAAAGCCCGCUCGCCGGAAGACCAAGGGUUCCUGUCCAACGUUAAUCGGGGCAGGGUGAGUCGACCCCUAAGGCGAGGCCGAAAGGCGUAGUCGAUGGGAAACAGGUUAAUAUUCCUGUACUUGGUGUUACUGCGAAGGGGGGACGGAGAAGGCUAUGUUGGCCGGGCGACGGUUGUCCCGGUUUAAGCGUGUAGGCUGGUUUUCCAGGCAAAUCCGGAAAAUCAAGGCUGAGGCGUGAUGACGAGGCACUACGGUGCUGAAGCAACAAAUGCCCUGCUUCCAGGAAAAGCCUCUAAGCAUCAGGUAACAUCAAAUCGUACCCCAAACCGACACAGGUGGUCAGGUAGAGAAUACCAAGGCGCUUGAGAGAACUCGGGUGAAGGAACUAGGCAAAAUGGUGCCGUAACUUCGGGAGAAGGCACGCUGAUAUGUAGGUGAAGUCCCUCGCGGAUGGA